AUUGAACGCUGGCGGCAGGCUUAACACAUGCAAGUCGAACGAGUGGCGGACGGGUGAGUAAUGCUUGGGAAUCUAGCUUAUGGAGGGGGAUAACUACGGGGAACUGUAGCUAAUACCGCGUACCAUAGGAUGAGCCCAAGUGGGAUUAGGUAGGUGGGGAGGUAAAGGCUCACCAAGCCGACGAUCUCUAGCUGGUCUGAGAGGAGGACCGGCCCCACGUGGACUGAGCCACGGCCCAGACGCCAACGGGAGGCAGCAGUGGGGAAUAUUGCGCAAUGGGGGCAACCCGGACGCAGCCAUGCCGCGUGAAGGAAGAAGGCCUUAGUGUUGUAAAGUACUUUCAGCGGGGAGGCGUUACCCGCAGAAGAAGCACCGGCUAACUCCGUGCCAGCAGCCGCGGUAAUAC
rnacentral:rRNA from 1 species